rnacentral:tRNA from 1 species
GGUGGCUUAGUGGUAGAGCGCUUGCCUUGCAUGCAUGAGGCCCUGAGUUUGAUCCCUCAGCACCA